GCGGAUGUGGUGGAAUUGGUAGACACGCCAUCUUGAGGGGGUGGUGGCUUCGGCCGUGGGGGUUCAAGUCCCCCCAUCCGCACCA
rnacentral:tRNA from 38 species